rnacentral:rRNA from 1 species
UUAAGCUACUAAGAGCAUAGGGUGAAUGCCUAGGCACCAAAAGCCGAUGAAAGACGUGACAAGCUGCGAUAAGCCUUGGGGAGGAGCACAUAUCCUUUGAUCCAGGGAUUUCUGAAUGAGGAAACUCAGCUGGGAAAAAGAGCCCAGUUAUCCACACAUGAGUAAAGUAGUGUGUGAGAAGGGAACGUGGAGAACUGAAACAUCUUAGUACCCACAGGAAAAGAAAGAAAAAUCGAUAUCGAAAGUAGUGGCGAGCGAAAUCGAUAGAGCCCAAACCAGAAUCAGUAAUGAUACUGGGGUUCGGACAGCAUAAUUGAUUAAACGAGGAUAGCAAAACUGUUUUGGAAAAGCAGACUAUAAAGGGUGAAAGUCCCGUAUGCGAAAUUCAAGUUUACAUGGCUGUAUCCAGAGUAGUGCGAGACACGAGAAAUCUCGUAUGAAUGAGCGGGGACCAUCCCGUAAGGCUAAAUACUAAUUGGUGACCGAUAGCGAACUAGUACCGUGAGGGAAAGGUGAAAAGAACCCCGGGAGGGGAGUGAAAUAGAAUCUGAAACCCUAUGUUUACAAGCAGACAGAGCGAUUUAAGGCGCGAUGUCGUACUUUUUGUAGAACGGUCCAGCGAGUUAUAGUGUAUGGCAAGGUUAAGUUUUAAGUAAGGAACGGAGCCGAAGCGAAAGCGAGUCUGAAAAGGGCGAAUUAAGUCAUGCGUUAUAGACCCGAAACCGGGUGACCUAUCCAUGGUCAGGAUGAAGCAAGAGUAAAAUCUUGUGGAGGUCCGAACUGAUUGUCGUUAAAAAGGCACCGGAUGAACUGUGGAUAGCGGAGAAAUUCCAAUCGAACUCGGAGAUAGCUGGUUCUCCUCGAAAUAGCUUUAGGGCUAGCCUUGGAGGAAGACGAAUGGAGGUAGAGCACUGAAUGAGGUAGGGGCCUAACCAGGUUACCGAACUCUAUCAAACUCCGAAUGCCAUUCGUUAAUAUCCAGGAGUCAGACUACGGGAGCUAAGUUCCGUGGUCAAAAGGAAAAGAGUCCAGAUCGUCAAUUAAGGUCCCAAAUGGAUAGCUAAGUGGAAAACGAUGUGAUUUUGCGUAAACAACCAGGAUGUUGGCUCAGAAGCAGCCAUUCAUUAAAAGAGUGCGUAAUAGCUCACUGGUCGAGUGAAGUUGCGCGGAAAAUUACCGGGGCUAAGUUAUCAACCGAAAUUGCGGAUUUGUAAUUUAUUACAAGUGGUAGAGGAGCAUUCUAUUGUAGGAUGAAGUCAGAGCGUGAGCACUGGUGGACGAGAUAGAAGAGAGAAUGCUGGAAUAAGUAGCGAGAGCAGGGUGAGAAUCCCUGCCGUCGAAAGUCUAAGGUUUCCUGGGGAAGGUUCGUCCGCCCAGGGUUAGUCAGGACCUAAGGAGAGGCCGAAAGGCGUAUCUGAUGGAUAGCAGGUUGAUAUUCCUGCACUAUAUAAUACUUAAAAGAUGCAACUGACGCAGAAGUGGAAGGUGAGCAAGGAAAUGGAAAAACUUGUUCCGCAAGGGGGAGUGAAAAUAAAGUAACGAAGCACCAAGAAGCACGCUGACGAGAAAAGGUUGUAGAUCUUGUAUUAUAUACUUGUACCGCAAACCGACACAGGUAGAUGAGGAGAGGAUCCUAAGACGAUCGGGAGAAGCAUUGUUAAGGAACUCGGCAAAUUGACCCCGUAACUUUGGAAGAAGGGGUACUGGUGUAACAGCCAGUCGCAGUGAAUAGUCCCAAGCAACUGUUUAACAAAAACAUAGGUUUCUGCUAAAUCGAAAGAUGAAGUAUAGGAGCUGACGCCUGCCCAGUGCUGGAAGGUUAAGGGAACGUGUUAAUAGUAAUAUGAAGCACCGAACUGAAGCCCCAGUGAACGGCGGCCGUAACUAUAACGGUCCUAAGGUAGCGAAAUUCCUUGUCAGGUAAGUUCUGACCCGCACGAAAGGCGUAAUGAUUUGGGAGCUGUCUCGACAAUGUCCCCGGCGAAAUUGUAGUACUAGUGAAGAUGCUAGUUACCUGCGACAAGACAGAAAGACCCCAUGGAGCUUUACUGCAGUUUGAUACUGAGUCAGGCUAAUUUAUGUACAGGAUAGUUAGGAGGCUUUGAGGCUUAAGCGCCAGCUUAAGAAGAGCCAACGUUGGGAUACUAACCUUAAAUUAGUUUGAAUCUAACUCGUGAUCGUAAUCCGGUCAGAGGACAAUGUCAGACGGGCAGUUUGACUGGGGCGGUCGCCUCCUAAAGAGUAACGGAGGCGUUCAAAGGUUCCCUCAGCGCGGACAGAAAUCGCGCAAUAGAGUGUAAAGGCAGAAGGGAGCUUAACUGGGAGACUUACAAGUCGAGCAGAUACGAAAGUAGGACUUAGUGAUCCGGUGGAUUAUGAAUGGAAAUGCCAUCGCUCAACGGACAAAAGUUACCCUGGGGAUAACAGGCUUAUCUCCCCCAAGAGUUCACAUCGACGGGGAGGUUUGGCACCUCGAUGUCGGCUCAUCGCAUCCUGGAGCGGAAGUACGUUCCAAGGGUUGGGCUGUUCGCCCAUUAAAGCGGUACGCGAGCUGGGUUCAGAACGUCGUGAGACAGUUCGGUCCUUAUCUGUCGCAGGCGCAGGAUAUUUGAGGAGAUCUGCCCCUAGUACGAGAGGACCAGGGUGGACGAACAGAUGGUGCAACAGUUGUUCUACCAAGAGCAUAGCUGUGUAGCCAAGUUCGGAAUGGAUAAACGCUGAGAGCAUCUAAGUGUGAAGCCAACUCCAAGAUAAGAUAUCCCAUACCGUUAAGGUAGUAAGAUUCCAUGAAGACUACGUGGUUGAUAGGUUGGGGGUGUAAGUGAAGCGAUUCACUGAGCUGACCAAUACUAAUAAAUCGAGGGCUUAACCAU